UACGGAGGGUGCGAGCGUUGUCCGGAAUCAUUGGGCGUAAAGGGCGCGUAGGCGGCGUUUUAAGUCGGGGGUGAAAGCCUGUGGCUCAACCACAGAAUGGCCUCGAUACUGGGACGCUUGAGUAUGGUAGAGGUUGGUGGAACUGCGAGUGUAGAGGUGAAAUUCGUAGAUAUUCGCAAGAACACCGGUGGCGAAGGCGGCCAACUGGACCAUUACUGACGCUGAGGCGCGAAAGCGUGGGGAGCAAACAGG
rnacentral:rRNA from 1 species